AUGAUUCACUAUAUAUAUUUUUCUUUUAUAAAUUUGCUAUUGUUUCAACUAAGUUCCUAUCUGUGUGUUCUGUUCAAUUCUUCUGUGUAUGAUUGCUUUAAUGGGAUGUUCUUUUUGCUCUGGAUCAUGAAAGAUUACAAACCUACCAACAGCUUGUGGAAAUGUUGGACUAAGAGAGUGUCUUCAAACUUGUUAAAAAAGCCAUAUGAUGAGGAAUUAUAG